AUACGGAGGAUGCGAGCGUUAUCCGGAUUUAUUGGGUUUAAAGGGUGCGUAGGCUGUGCGUUAAGUCAGGGGUGAAAUGCCGUCGCUCAACGACGGAGCUGCCCUUGAUACUGGCGUGCUGGAGUACGGAUGCCGUUGGAGGAAUGAGUGGUGUAGCGGUGAAAUGCUUAGAUAUCACUCAGAACACCGAUUGCGAAGGCAUCUGACGAAUCCGUCACUGACGCUGAGGCACGAAAGCGUGGGGAUAGAACAGGAUUAGAUACCCUGGUAUUCCACGCCGUAAACGAUGAUGACUAACCGUCGGCGAUAGACAGCCGGUGGCCAAGCGAAAGCGAUAAGUCAUCCACCUGGGGAGUACGGCGGCAACGAUGAAACUCAAAUGAAUUGACGGGG
rnacentral:rRNA from 1 species